CGAGUGUAGUAUUUAUUAUGCUUUAUUGUGGGUAAAGAGAAAAGCUUGUAA
rnacentral:tRNA from 1 species